rnacentral:rRNA from 1 species
GAUGAACGCYGGCGGCGUGCUUGACACAUGCAAGUCGAGCGAAGCACUUACCAUUGACUCUUCGGAAGAUUUGGUAAAUGACUGAGCGGCGGACGGGUGAGUAACGCGUGGGCAACCUGCCUCAUACAGGGGAAUAACAGUUAGAAAUGGCUGCUAAUGCCGCAUAAGCGCACAGUACCGCAUGGUACGGUGUGAAAAACCGAGGUGGUAUGAGAUGGACCCGCGUCUGAUUAGGUAGUUGGUGGGGUAAUGGCCUACCAAGCCGACGAUCAGUAGCCGGCCUGAGAGGGUGAACGGCCACAUUGGGACUGAGACACGGCCCAGACUCCUACGGGAGGCAGCAGUGGGGAAUAUUGCACAAUGGGGGAAACCCUGAUGCAGCGACGCCGCGUGAAGGAAGAAGUAUCUCG